CAGCACCUCAAGUGGUCAGGAUGAUUAUUGGGCCUAAAGCAUCCGUAGCCGGCUCUGUAAGUUUUCGGUUAAAUCUGUAUGCUCAACAUACAGGCUGCCGGGAAUACUGCAGAGCUAGGGAGUGGGAGAGGUAGACGGUACUCGGUAGGAAGGGGUAAAAUCCUUUGAUCUAUUGAUGACCACCUGUGGCGAAGGCGGUCUACCAGAACACGUCCGACGGUGAGGGAUGAAAGCUGGGGGAGCAAACCGGAUUAGAGACCCCAGUAGUCC
rnacentral:rRNA from 1 species